rnacentral:rRNA from 1 species
GACGAACGCUGGCGGCGUGCUUUAGGCAUGCAAGUCGAACGCGAAAGCCCCUUCGGGGGUGAGUAGAAUGGCGAACGGGUGAGUAACACGUGGGUAACCUGCCCCUCGCAGGGGGAUAACCGGGGGAAACCCCGGCUAAUACCCCGUACGCUUGCUGGGGCGCAUGCUCCGGCAAGGAAAGGUAGCUUCGGCCAUCCGGCGAGGGAGGGGCCCGCGGCCCAUUAGCUAGUUGGUGGGGUAACGGCCCACCAAGGCGACGAUGGGUAGCUGGCCUGAGAGGGUGGUCAGCCACACUGGGACUGAGACACGGCCCAGACUCCUACGGGAGGCAGCAGCCAGGAAUCUUGCGCAAUGGGCGAAAGCCUGACGCAGCAACGCCGCGUGGGCGAUGAAGGCCUUCGGGUCGUAAAGCCCUGUUGUCGGGGACGAAGGGCGAAGGGUUAAUAGCCCCUAGCCUGACGGUACCCGACGAGGAAGCCCCGGCUAACUACGUG